GUCAGAGGCGGGCGGGGCGGGGGCGGAUGUGGCUGGAUGUGUGGGGCAGCCCCCGAGCUGUGCCUUGUGGUCUCACAGGUCCCCCACCUGGCACCUUUGGCCCUGGGUGCUGCCCCAGCCCCCUGUCACCUCCUCUCGCCCCUGUCACCUACUGGUUGUUCCCCCCACACACCAAGCUCACGUCUUGCCUCUUGGCCUUUGCACGGGCUGUUCUGUUACUAGGAACGCCCUCCCCAGAUCCACCUCCCAGUCCCCUAGUCAUGCUCUGGCCGUGUUUACUUCUUUAUGGCUCUGAUCUCUGUGUUUGUGACUGCCAGGUGUCUACUGUGGCUCCUCCAUCAGACUGGCUGCACCCAAGGGUGGGCACCCUUUUCUCCUCACUGGAUUUCACAGAUAAGGAAACAGAGGCCCCCAGAGGGGCAGCCACUGCCAGAGGUACCCAGGGACGGCAGUCACCACUCGAACCCAGAGACCCAACCAGCCCGGACCGGCCCAGGGAGCCAUCCCACCUGGCCCCACCUUGCUCACCUUGGCCAGCUCUGCGAGUGUGUUGGCCUGGUCGUUCAGCUUUCCCUGCUCAAUCUUCACACUCCGGAGCCUGGGGACAGGCGGAGUCUGUACACAGACACGCACAGAUGGAGGACAGUAUGAAGACGCAGGAAGAACAGCUCAUGACAAUGACCACUGGAGCGAUGCCUCUGUCAGCUCAGAGCGCCGGACGCUGCCAGAAGCCAGGAGAGAGCCCUGGAACAGAUCCUCCCUGGCACCUUCAGAGGGAACAGGGCCCUGCUGACACCUGGAUUUUGGUCUUCUGGCCUUCGGGACAGUGAUCAUAAAUUCUGCCGCUUCAAACCACCCACUUAUUACAGCCACGGAGACACGCACACUCCCCACUCUGUCUCGUCCGAGACCACCUCUUCCUUUCCUCUGGCUUUGCACACAGCGCUCCCUUCGGGGGCCUCUCCAGCUCAAGGACGUGCCCGGCUGCCUCACGUGUGCAGAGCAGACCCCGUUUCCCUGGCGCGUGCUCGUGCCCACCGCCUUGCCUUCCUCAAGCUGUGGGCACUCCCUGGUGUGCAGCCUGCCCCUCAGCUUCCGGCUCAGGUCUUAUCCACCCUCAGGCCCUAGUGCACACUUGCUUGACUUCAUCAUCUGUUCUUACGGGGCUACUGGUUUUGGUGGGGGGUGGGGGUGCAGAGGGUCUAAAGGUGAGGGCAACAGUCCUGCCCGAGAAGAGAUGGUCACAGAUCAUUCACAGAGCAGGUGCCUUCUCCCCAGACCUGGCUCUCCUCAGUUCUCAUACUCCUGCUUUCCCCAAAGAACUUUCUGGAACAUCCCAUAGGGCAAGAUCCAGGGCGGGGCCACAUCUACUGUCCCCCACUCCGGCUGGUGCAGGAAAUGCUUGUGGAAUGACAAAACGACCAGAUCGAGGGUGGAAGUAACAACAAUUCCAGUUCCUAUAUUUAGAAAACAUUGUGUGGCAGUCAGGCCCAGGUGAGCCAUCCGGUCACCGGACUGCGUUCGAUCGGUAUCACCCUCCUGGGAAAGAGGCACAUCACCAUCAUCUCCGCUUUACACAUAAGGUACUUGGAGUAGUGUAGUCACCUGUCCAGGCCCCACUGUUCGGUGGGAGAGACCGGAUUGGGAACCAGUGGUCAGCUAACAACUAUGGGAGAGUCAGCAAGGGGAGGUCCCUGUCCUCCAGGGUCUCAAAGUCUUGUGAGGAGGCAGGACUAACACCUGGUCACAGUGAAGACAAUGGAUACCAGCUCCUCUCCCGGGUGUUCAGAUGGUGGUGGAAGCAGAGGCAGAGAGCAGGGGCUGGGGGCGAGGUGGACGCUAUGUGCUACCAAGAGGUUGCUCUGUGCUGGGGACCCUGCCAGGCAUUUCUGCGAAUCGUCUCAUUUAGACCUCCCGAAGUCCUGGGGAGUGGGGAUCAUUAUCAUUAGGAAGCAACCCAGUUAUAACAGCAAACACAAUACAUGUAAAGGAACUAAACUCUCCAGUUAAAAGACAAGGAUGGUAAGCAGCAUAAGGAAACUUUUGGGGGGAUGGAUCUGUUCAUUAUCUUCACUGUGAUGAUAGUUUCAUGGGUGUGAAUACAUGUUAACACUCAUCGAACUGUACACUUUAAGUAUGUGCAGUUGACUAUGUCAAUUGUACCCCAAUAAAGCUGUUUCUAAAAAAGAGGUAAACAUGAUUGAACAGAAUUAAACCAUUAAAGCCCAGCUGGUGAGCCUCUUCUCCCAUGGCCUGGCCUCUCCCUGGUAAGUGGUCAUUCUCCUUUACCUCUGGACGCCCCGGCUCUGGGCUGCCCCAGCCGCACCUGGGCUCCCUGCUCUAUCCACCUCCCCACCCCACCACUCACACUGGUGUCCCCUGGGCGGCCUCUUGGUUAUGGCUGAGUCGGUUGCCUUCCUGCUGCACUAGCUCAGACCCUCACUCUGUUCACCUCACUCUAAGUCAUCAGCCCCUGAGUCUGGCCUGUGAGUUCUGGGGGCAGGAGCCCUCUCGGGCACCGAGGAGAAGCCACUUGUGAAUGGGUUUUCUCGUGAUCUGAGACUCGGGAACUCUCUUCAGAGAGACUCAUUCUGAAAAGUGCCUAAGAACGUGUUUUUACUCUUUUAAAUCGGGUGCCACGUGACUCAACCCCACAGAAUUCGGAGCUGUGUAAAUUCUGGACAGGGUGCUGUCUCAUGCACCCUAUAUGUGGCCCUUGAAAUGUGGUUAGUCCGAAUAAAAACAAGCUGUAAGUGUAAGAUAUGCAAUGGACUUUGAAGAUUUAGUACAAAAAACUUUAUAAAGUAUCUCAAUGAUUUUUUAAAUCUUAAUCAUAUGUUAAAAUAAUAAUAAUUUGGAUACACUAAAUAAAUAUAUUAAUUUUA